rfam:Aedes albopictus isolate Foshan contig34135, whole genome shotgun sequence.
AGCCUAGUGGUUAAGGCUAUGGAUCGCCAAUCCGGAGACGGCGGGUUCGAUUCCCGU